UGUCUGCAGGAAGAACGGGACAAAAUAAUACCUGGAACACUUCAUCACUCAGUGUCCUCAACACCAAAAUGUCUUUGAAAGCGUUGUGAGAAGAAACAGGAA